rnacentral:rRNA from 1 species
UACGUAGGGUGCAAGCGUUAAUCGGAAUUACUGGGCGUAAAGCGUGCGCAGGCGGUUUUGUAAGUCUGUCGUGAAAUCCCCCGGGCUUAACCUGGGAAUUGCGAUGGAGACUGCAAGGCUAGAGUCUGGCAGAGGGGGGUAGAAUUCCACGUGUAGCAGUGAAAUGCGUAGAGAUGUGGAGGAACACCGAUGGCGAAGGCAGCCCCCUGGGUCAAGACUGACGCUCAUGCACGAAAGCGUGGGGAGCAAACAGG